rnacentral:lncRNA from 10 species
CCUGGGACCCUGGCAUAUAAGACCCAGGAUUGCUGCUUUCUAGAAUCCUCCAGGGUCAGUGCAAGUGGGACACAUGCAGAUAAAAUUCCGUCUAACCCAAGCAGCUUUUCUGAGCCUCAGGGAACCAGCUCACAGUGAAUCCCAAGUUUCUGUUACUCCUUGCCGCCCAUCUAUAAACUGACUUCAUGGAUGUUUGGAUGUGUGUGCGGAUGUUCUGACUCAUUGGACUCGGAGAAGUUGAGAAAAAAACCCAUGUGAGAACACAAAGAGAAGACAGCCAUCCACAAGCCAAGGAAUGAAGCGUCAAAAGAAUCUACACUUGUCAACAUCAUGAUC